GAUGAACGCUGGCGGCGUGCCUAAUACAUGCAAGUCGAGCGAACAGAUGAGGAGCUUGCGCCGCUGUCGUGAGCCGAGGACGGGUGAGUAACAUGUGGAUCAUCUACCUAUAAGUCUGGGAUAAUUUCGGGAAACCGGCGCUAAUACCGGAGAAUAUAUUGAACCGCAUGGGUCGAUGGUGAGAGACGGUGUUGGUGGCACUUAUAGAUGGAUCCGCGCCGCAUUAGCUGGUUGGUAAGGUAACGGCUUACCAAGGCAACGAGGCGUAUCCGACCGGCGGGGGGGAUCGCCGACCCUGGAGGGUGGACAGCGUCCAGACUCCUGCGGUAGGCAGCAGUCGGCAACGGUCCGCAGUAGGCGAAAGCAUUACGGAACAGCGGCGCGUGAGUUAUGACGACCCUCGGUGCGUAAAACUCUGUUACUAGUGAAGAACCGCUUUGGCCGUAAAUGAGGACGUCGUGACGGUACCUAAUCAGAAAGCCCCGGCUAACUACGUG
rnacentral:rRNA from 1 species